rnacentral:lncRNA from 7 species
UUGUCACGAAAACCAUCCUAAGUGCGUGUUUUAGGCACAUUACGAGAAUUCAUUUUCUGGUGCACUUUUAUUUUUUCUAUUUAUUUUCCCUCUCUGUUUUUUCCUGUUUCUAGUUUUCCUUUGUCAUGUUGAAUUUCAUCUUGUACUAGGUGAAUGCCCGUGCGUUGCUACGGAAUGAACAUGUUAUGAUAAGAUACAUUAAAAUUCAAGAAUACUGAUUGCAAUUUUAUAUUCGUGUUAACAUCUUUUAAAAGUUAAGAAUUUUUACAUGCCUUAAAAGCCUUACACAUCGAAAAAAUCCAUCAUGUAAAGUAAAAUACAACGUUCAUCCGUCACUAUUGUAAUCUUCUACUCGCACUAUCCAAUUAUAAACUACUCAUAUAAAAUAUACUGUAAAAUCAAAUAUUUUAAAGGCUAUAUAACGCACGAGCAACCAAUUUAAUGAAUAUAGUUAGAGCUAUUCUAAAUAGAUGGUCAAUAGUACUCUUUAUUCUUUGAGUCUGAAAGGGUUCAAUGGUGAGAGAUGUUAAAACAUGCCCCAAAAAAACAGGGGAGAAGAGUCUGGAGUGUUAGAAUGAGAGAAAUGUUGAGAUACUUGAUAGUUAAAAAUUUCAGAUUUGGCAGCCUAAAUAGUUCAAAUAUCAGCAUGCCACUGCGUGCAACAAAUCCUUACACAAGUUUCUAGCUCAAAAGGCAUAAGUCUGAAAAAUUAGUAGAUACAGUUUGCUAACACAAAAUGACAUAUAAUAGUUACAACUGAAUCGACACACUAUGUCCCAAAUUUGAUGGGAGUUUCAUUUGAGAGGAAUUAACUUCCUCUUGAUAAACCAAGACGCUCGUCAUCUCCAUCGUUGCCCUUAGGGGCUUGGUCUCCAAAAAAACGCAUCUAAAAACACAAAUGAAAAGUGGUCUAAAAGCGUUACAGAGUGAGAAAUGUUAAAACAUGCCCAAAGAAGUGGAGCGGGUGAGAAAUAUUGCAGGUUAUCAAAUAGACAAACUAAUUCAAGAUACUUGAUAGUUAAAAGUAUUCAGAUUGGGCAGGCUAAAUAGUUCAAGUAUCACCAUAUCAUAAACCAGGAAUAGCUCUGACUGGAUCUGGAUCAGCUAAGUGUAACAGAAGGAUGGUUAACACAAACUGGUUUACAAACAGAAAUGAAAGAUAAAAGAGAACAACAAGACAACCAACACAAUCGAAAAAGCACACAGAGAACUAAUAUCAGGGGUUUCCUUUCGUCAGCAUACCUAGCUCCGGGACAUAAUCAUAUUUUAUUCUAGUAAUUCAAUUGUGUUAGCCGACUGCCCAUGACAUUGUUUCUUUGAAAAUACUGAAACAAUAUGUUCUAGUCUUUGAAAUCAAAUUGGAAGACAAAGUGGUUAUAGACCACAUCUCUGAGGCAAUAGGAGGUGCAUUCCUUUUAUUUGUUGCGAUCAAUAGAGUUAAAUCAGACACAUUGAAGUAUAUGAG